rnacentral:rRNA from 1 species
AUACGUAGGGGGCGAGCGUUGUCCGGAAUGAUUGGGCGUAAAGGGCGCGUAGGCGGCCCGGUAAGUCUGGAGUGAAAGUCCUGUUUUUAAGAUGGGAAUUGCUUUGGAUACUGUCGGGCUUGGGUGCAGGAGAGGUAAGUGGAAUUCCCAGGGUAGCGGUGAAAUGCGUAGAGAUUGGGAGGAACACUAGUGGCGAAGGCGACUUACUGGACUGUAACUGACGCUGAGGCGCGAAAGUGUGGGGAGCAAACAGGAUUAGAUACCCUGGUAGUCCACACUGUAAACGAUGAAUGCUAGGUGUAGGGGGUAUCGACCCCUUCUGUGCCGCAGUCAACACAAUAAGCAUUCCGCCUGGGGAGUACGGCCGCAAGGUUGAAACUCAAAGGAAUUGACGGGG